UACGAAGGGAGCAAGCGUUGCUCGGACUUAUUGGGCGUAAAGGGUGUGUAGGUGGUUUGAUAAGUUAGAUGUGAAAGCCCAGGGCUUAACCCUGGAAUUGCAUUUAAGACUGUUAGACUUGAAGAUUGGAGAGGUAAGCAGAAUUCCCAGUGUAGAGGUGAAAUUCGUAGAUAUUGGGAAGAAUACCAAUGGCGUAGGCAGCCUACUGGCCAAAUCUUGACACUGAGGCACGAAAGCGUGGGGAGCAAACAGG
rnacentral:rRNA from 1 species